ensembl:lncRNA
CGUUAAUGUUUACUGUUAACGGGUGGCAGCUUAGACUGUCAGCCCUUAUUACCUUGGGUUUUAAUAACCCCCUGAGGGGUUGGUGCUAACUGUGUUGAGCCUGAGAGCUGCUGGGCUCUGAGUUGAGGACGCGGAGCUGCUGACGCUGAUGCUUGCUGCUGGGCCACUGUUGCGGCUGCACUGAAGGCCUCGUCUGUGUUAGCACGCCCCCGGGCCCGGGCUCCCAGCUGUGAGGUUCCCAAGACUCACUGGGGCGAAGAGAAGGAACCCGGGUCUCAGACAGCUCUGCUCUGCGUCUCCGUCUGGCCUCCAUGUGGAACGGGGCACUCAGUCUUCCACCUCAGACGCUGCCUGCCGCUGACCAGCCUGGGAU